CAUUCUUCCUCCGUCCAGCCUUUUCUUUUUUUUCUGAGAGCCGAGCGGAGCAGAGCAUGAAAGUGACUUCUUCGAUCAUCUCUGCAGCCCGCGGCGUCCUGUUCAAUCCCUCCAUCGCCAUGAUGGACUUUAGGGUCACGAUUCGCUUCCUCCUGGAAACUUGCCUUGACUGAGAGGAGUCUUAAGAUGAGAGAUGCUCUGAACUCCAGCAGCUGCAGAGUGAAGCAGGAUUCGCUCUUUGUCCCUGAGGUCCACCUUGAAGCAAUGGGGAGUGAUCAGCUGCGGCAGCUUUGGCCAAGAUCUCGUCUACCUGUGAUCCUUGACACGUGGGAGCCCUCUUUCCUCUGGCAUUAAACAUAUGCUCCGAACAUAUGUUCCAUGCAACAUAUGCUCCGCUAAAGCUGCUGUUAACUUCUUUUUUGUGCCAAUAUAGAAUCCUUGAUGUUAAAAUAAGAUCUGAAGUAUUCAGCACCGUUCUAAGAAUUUCGAUGAACCCCGGGGAUCAACUCGAAGAAAAAUGGGGAAUUUCAUGCCUGUAAGGCAAAAUAGCAUCCAGGGAAGUCAUAUGAUGAUGAUGAUGAUGAUAACAUUUUGUCAGAUCGAGUAUGAAAUAUGAGUACAGUGUGUUUCUGCCUUCUUAUUCAACUACAUGUCUAUGUGUGUGUGUCCAACAUGCAGUGACUGUGUGUCUUGCAGGGAGGAUUAUUACCCAUUGCCUCCGUGCAUUAAGCCUCCCCUCAUCCAGUGCCAAAGGCCUGACCCAAAUAUGGCUAAAAGACAACAUGUGACCUGCUUAGCGUUUCACCCCCCGGCUCCGCUAGCUCCAGGCUGUGGUGGCGGCGGUGAUGGUGGCCCGGGUGUGUGUGUUGGGGGGUUGCGGUGUGCAGAGAAGGUGGGGGUAGGGGUUGGGGGGUUCAGUCUAUUAGUGGGAGAAAGCACAGAUGCCGGCAGAUGGCUAACAUAUUGUCCAGAGCUGACCCGAAUUCAGAAUAAUUACUGGAAAGUUCAGCGCUCUCAGGUCUGUAGCCUGACUGCACCUCCAGUCACCGACUGUUGAAAUGAACAGUACUAAGCAGAAUUAGUGGACAGUUCUUCUGUUCAUUAAUUUAAAUGUGAUGCUGAAAAGAAACUUUACAGAACCUUCCUAUUGUGUUUUUUGAAGAAUUGCACGCCUACAUAAACUUAAAUAAAGUUUAAAAUAACAAACAUC